rnacentral:rRNA from 1 species
UACGGAGGGUGCAAGCGUUAUCCGGAUUCACUGGGUUUAAAGGGUGCGUAGGCGGGCAGGUAAGUCCGUGGUGAAAUCUCUGAGCUUAACUCAGAAACUGCCAUGGAUACUAUUUGUCUUGAAUAUUGUGGAGGUAAGCGGAAUAUGUCAUGUAGCGGUGAAAUGCUUAGAUAUGACAUAGAACACCAAUUGCGAAGGCAGCUUACUACACAGUAAUUGACGCUGAGGCACGAAGGCGUGGGGAUCAAACAGG